GGGUAUAGCUCAGUGGUAGAGCAUGUGCUUAGCAAGUACCAGGUCUUGGAUUCAAUCCCCAGUACCUGCA
rnacentral:tRNA from 1 species